rnacentral:tRNA from 1 species
GUUUUAAUAAUUUAAAAUAAAAUACUGGUUUUGUAAACCAAAUAUGGAUCUCCUUAAAACU